rnacentral:rRNA from 1 species
AGCAGCCGCGGUAAUUCCAGCUCCAAUAGCGUAUAUUAAAGUUGUUGCAGUUAAAAAGCUCGUAGUUGAAUUUCGGAAUUUGUCGGUUGGUCGGGCUUCAUUGUCCGCACUGGCCUGAUAGAUUCCUACCUUCUGAAUAACCAGCAUGCUAUUAAGUUAGUGCGUUGGGGAAGCAGAGCUAUUACCUUGAAAAAAUUAGAGUGCUUAAAGCAGGCUUGUGCUUGAAUAGAUUAGCAUGGAAUAAUAAAAUAGGACGGCAUGGUUCUAUUUUGUUGGUUUCUAGGAUCACCGUAAUGAUUAAUAGGGAUAGUUGGGGGCAUUAGUAUUCAAUUGUCAGAGGUGAAAUUCUUGGAUUUAUUGAAGACUAACUUCUGCGAAAGCAUUUGCCAAGGAUGUUUUCAUUAAUCAAGAACGAAAGUUAGGGGAUCGAAGACGAUCAGAUACCGUCGUAGUCUUAACCAUAAACUAUGCCGACUAGGGAUCGGACGAUGUAAUUUUUAAUGACUCGUUCGGCG